GAUGAACGCUGGCGGCGUGCCUAAUACAUGCAAGUCGAGCGAACAGACGAGGAGCUUGCUCCUCUGACGUUAGCGGCGGACGGGCGAGUAACACGUGGAUAACCUACCUAUAAGACUGGGAUAACUUCGGGAAACCGGAGCUAAUACCGGAUAAUAUAUUGAACCGCAUGGUUCAAUAGUGAAAGACGGUUUUGCUGUCACUUAUAGAUGGAUCCGCGCCGCAUUAGCUAGUUGGUAAGGUAACGGCUUACCAAGGCAACGAUGCGUAGCCGACCUGAGAGGGUGAUCGGCCACACUGGAACUGAGACACGGUCCAGACUCCUACGGGAGGCAGCAGUAGGGAAUCUUCCGCAAUGGGCGAAAGCCUGACGGAGCAACGCCGCGUGAGUGAUGAGGGUCUUCGGAUCGUAAAACUCUGUUAUUAGGGAAGAACAAAUGUGUAAGUAACUAUGCACGUCUUGACGGUACCUAAUCAGAAAGCCACGGCUAACUACGUG
rnacentral:rRNA from 1 species